UACGAAGGGGGCUAGCGUUGCUCGGAAUCACUGGGCGUAAAGGGUGCGUAGGCGGGUCUUUAAGUCAGGGGGGAAAUCCUGGAGCUCAACUCCAGAACUGCCUUUGAUACUGAGGAUCUUGAGUACGGGAGAGGUGAGUGGAACUGCGAGUGUAGAGGUGAAAUUCGUAGAUAUUCGCAAGAACACCAGUGGCGAAGGCGGCUCACUGGCCCGUUACUGACGCUGAGGCACGAAAGCGUGGGGAGCAAACAGG
rnacentral:rRNA from 1 species